rnacentral:misc_RNA from 1 species
AAGGAAGCGCCGUCAUUUAUUGCUGCAAGCGCCUCUGGUGGUGCGCUUCUGGUACCAAUGUUUUGCACUGAUUGGAUAGGAAGAGGACGCAUUUGCGUGACGCGAACGCCACGCGCAGCUGCGACCUUCGUCGCCCUUGUCCCACCGGUUGUAUGCCAUACGAGUGAUACUCCUCGUAUUCAUCAUUUUCCCGAGCGACGCACUUAAACGUGGUGGUGCUGUUGGCUGCUGCAACGACGACGUCGACGACGUUUAUCCUAUUUUUCCUUUAUCAUUUAUUAUUUUUUCUCAUUCUCUCUUUUAUCUCUCAUCAAAUCUUUUCAUUACUCUGUCCUCUAACACUCUUACACCGUCUCCUCCUAUAUCCCUUGUACGUAAGAUAUUUUUUCUAAUUGAUAUUUAAUCUGUUGAAAAGAUACAAAUGAAGAAAAAAAGAUGCGCCCACGCACACGUUUAAUUCAUAAACGAAGAUAAUUUUUUUCGUCAAUUUCUCAUUUUUUUGUUUUUGUUUUAAUAAUUUAUCUCUGGCAAAAUAAAAACAAAAAAAAAGAAAUUACGAUAGAUAAAGAUAAUAACAUUUGGUGAGAGAUUUAAGAGAACAAGUUUUAAUUGGCAGAAUUAAGUGAAAGGGGGUGACAAAACAAAAAAUAAAUAAAAAAGGAAAGAAAUAAUAAUAUAGAAAUUGUGCGGUGCGCUACGGUGCGGUGCCAGUGCGGUGCGGUCCCAGUGCGGUCCCAGUGCGGUGCAGUGGCGGGCAAAGUAAACGGCGCCGUGCGUACGGCGCUGUGCGUUGAUAGACAGCGCAGUUCAGUGCAGUUACAUUCAAAUUUUAUCGAAGUAGAAGAACAAGCAGAAGAAGCAGAAGAACAACAACAACAACGCAUUUUUCUUAAUCAACAAUUACGUGAUACUAGUCUACGAAAGAACAGGGAUAUAUUUAAAAAGGAAUAUACUGAUCUAAAAAAUCGAUCAAUACGGGUAAUCGGGAACAAAAGGAGUUGGACGAGUCUAGGAGUUCGAGUUCGAGUUCAAGUUCACAAUUGGACUUGGACGA